GAGAGUAUAGCUUAGUGGUAGAGUGUCUACUUAGCAUGUACGAGGUCCUGAGUUCAAUCCUCAGUACUUCCA
rnacentral:tRNA from 1 species